rnacentral:rRNA from 1 species
GGUAAAAAAGCUCGUAGUUGGAUUUCUGUUGAGGACGACCGGUCCAUACCACGUAUGCGCAUCUGGUUCGGCCUCGGCAUCCUCUCGAUGGACGUUUCUGCGCUUGAUUGCGUGGAGCGGAUCUCGGGACUUUUACUUUGAGGAAAUUAGAGUGUUCACGGCAGGCUAUCGCCAGAAUACAUUAGCAUGGAAUAAUAUUAUAGGACUUUUGUUCUAUUUUGUUGGUUUCUAGAACAGAGGUAAUGAUUAAUAGGGACAAUUGGGGGCAUUCGUAUCAACACGUCAGAGGUGGAAUUCUUGGAUUGUGUUGCGACGAACUACUGCGAAAGCAUUUGCCAAGGAUGUUUUCAUUGAUCAAGAACGAAAGUAAGGGGAUCGAAGACGAUUAGAUACCGUCGUAGUCUUUACCAUAAACUAUGCCAACUAGAGAUGGGACAUCGUUCACUUACGACUUGUUCCGCACCUUAUGAGAUAUCAAAGUUUUUGGGUUCCGGGGGGAGUAUGGUCGCAAGUCUGAAACUUAAAGGAAUUGACGGAAGGGCACCACCAGGAGUGGAGCCUGCGGCUUAAUUUGACUCAACACGGGGAAACUCACCAGGUCCAGACAUAAUAAGGAUUGACAGAUUGAUAGCUCUUUCUUGAUUUUAUGGGUGGUGGUGCAUGGCCGUUCUUAGUUCGUGGAGUGAUUUGUCUGCUUAAUUGCGUUAACGA